UACGAAGGGUGCAAGCGUUAAUCGGAAUUACUGGGCGUAAAGGGUGCGUAGGCGGUUCGUUAAGUCUGUUGUGAAAUCCCCGGGCUCAACCUGGGAAUGGCAAUGGAUACUGGGGGCUAGAGUGUGUCAGAGGAUGGUGGAAUUCCCGGUGUAGCGGUGAAAUGCGUAGAGAUCGGGAGGAACAUCAGUGGCGAAGGCGGCCAUCUGGGACAACACUGACGCUGAAGCACGAAAGCGUGGGGAGCAAACAGG
rnacentral:rRNA from 1 species